GAUUUCUGACGAAACUGCUAGCUGGCCCGCCACGCUUGUCGUGUGUGAGUGCCGGCUUGGCGUUUGUCAUCCGUUCGAAUGAUACGCGUGCUGCCCUUCACUGGGUUGGCGCUGCGUGUUUUCGAUCUUUUACUUUGAAAAAAUUAGAGUGUUUCAAGCAGGCAUGUUUUGCUAUGAAUACAUUAGCAUGGAAUAAUAAUCUAGGACUUUCGGUUCUAUUUUGUUGGUGUUCUGGAGCUGAAGUAAUGAUUGAUAGGGAUAGUUGGGGGUGCUAGUAUUCAGCGGCCAGAGGUGAAAUUCUCGGAUUCGCUGAAGACUAACUUAUGCGAAAGCAUU
rnacentral:rRNA from 1 species